rnacentral:snRNA from 1 species
AUCGCUUCUUGGACUUUUGGCUAAGAUCAAGUGUAGUAUCUGUUCUUAUCAGUUUAAUAUCUGAUACGUCCUCUAUCCGAGGACAAUAUAUUAAUGGCAGGCCAGGAAGGAAUUGCAGGAAAUCUUC